UUGUAACUCCGGAAAGAGAGGGAU
rnacentral:tRNA from 1 species